CUCAGAUUGAACGCUGGCGGCAGGCCUAACACAUGCAAGUCGAGCGGUAGCACAGAGAGCUUGCUCUCGGGUGACGAGCGGCGGACGGGUGAGUAAUGUCUGGGAAACUGCCUGAUGGAGGGGGAUAACUACUGGAAACGGUAGCUAAUACCGCAUAACGUCGCGAGACCAAAGUGGGGGACCUUCGGGCCUCAUGCCAUCAGAUGUGCCCAGAUGGGAUUAGCUAGUAGGUGGGGUAACGGCUCACCUAGGCGACGAUCCCUAGCUGGUCUGAGAGGAUGACCAGCCACACUGGAACUGAGACACGGUCCAGACUCCUACGGGAGGCAGCAGUGGGGAAUAUUGCACAAUGGGCGCAAGCCUGAUGCAGCCAUGCCGCGUGUGUGAAGAAGGCCUUCGGGUUGUAAAGCACUUUCAGCGGGGAGGAAGGCGGUGAGGUUAAUAACCUCAUCGAUUGACGUUACCCGCAGAAGAAGCACCGGCUAACUCCGUGCCAGCAGCCGCGGUAAUACGGAGGGUGCAAGCGUUAAUCGGAAUUACUGGGCGUAAAGCGCACGCAGGCGGUCUGUCAAGUCGGAUGUGAAAUCCCCGGGCUCAACCUGGGAACUGCAUUCGAAACUGGCAGGCUAGAGUCUUGUAGAGGGGGGUAGAAUUCCAGGUGUAGCGGUGAAAUGCGUAGAGAUCUGGAGGAAUACCGGUGGCGAAGGCGGCCCCCUGGACAAAGACUGA
rnacentral:rRNA from 1 species